GAAAUGCGAUAAGUAAUGUGAAUUGCAGAAUUCAGUGAAUCAUCGAAUCUUUGAACGCACAUUGCGCCCGCCAGUAUUCUGGCGGGCAUGCCUGUUCGAGCGUCAUUUCAACCAUCAAGCCCCCGGCUUGUGUUGGGGACCUGCGACUGCCCGCAGGCCCUGAAAAACAGUGGCGGGCUCGCUGUCACACCGAGCGUAGUAGCAUACAUUCUCGCUCAGGGCGUGCUGCGGGUUCCGGCCGUUAAACGACCUUCAUAACCCAAGGUUGACCUCGGAUCAGGUAGGAAGACCCGCUGAACUUAAGC
rnacentral:misc_RNA from 1 species